CGUAGGUGGCAAGCGUUGUCCGGAGUUACUGGGUGUAAAGGGCGUGUAGGCGGGAAGAUAAGUCAGAUGUGAAAUUCCAUGGCUCAACUGUGGCGCUGCAUCUGAAACUAUUUUUCUUGAGUGAUGGAGAGGAAAGCGGAAUUCCUAGUGUAGCGGUGAAAUGCGUAGAUAUUAGGAGGAACACCAGUGGCGAAGGCGGCUUUCUGGACAUUAACUGACGCUGAGGCGCGAAAGCGUGGGGAGCAAACAGGAUUAGAUACCCUGGUAGUCCACGCUGUAAACGAUGGAUACUAGGUGUAGGAGGUAUCGACCCCUUCUGUGCCGGAGUUAACACAAUAAGUAUCCCACCUGGGGAGUACGGCCGCAAGGUUG
rnacentral:rRNA from 1 species